AUUAUCCCAAGUAGCACGGGGCCCGAGAAAUCCCGUGUGAAUCUGUCAGGACCACCUGAUAAGCCUAAAUACUCCCAGAUGACCGAUAGCGGACAAGUACCGUGAGGGAAAGGUGAAAAGUACCCCGGGAGGGGAGUGAAAUAGAACCUGAAACCGGAUGCGUACAAGCAGUCAGAGCCCGCAAGGGUGAUGGCGUACCUUUUGUAUAAUGGGUCAGCGACUUACAUUCAGUAGCAAGGUUAACCGCAUAGGGGAGCCGUAGAGAAAUCGAGUCUUAAUAGGGCGUUUAGUUGCUGGGUGUAGACCCGAAACCGGGUGAUCUAUCCAUGAGCAGGUUGAAGGUUGGGUAACACUAACUGGAGGACCGAACCCACUGUCGUUGAAAAGCCAGGGGAUGACUUGUGGAUAGGGGUGAAAGGCUAAUCAAACUCGGUGAUAGCUGGUUCUCCCCGAAAUGCAUUUA
rnacentral:rRNA from 1 species